CUUGCGCGCGCAUACAUGCCGGUUUGUAUGGGCCGGCGUGCUUGCGUGUGUCUAGUGCGUACGUGUUUUGUGAGCGUGUUUGUGUGGGUCACUGUGUGUGCGUGCACGUCUUAGCGUGUCUGCCUGCAUGUAUGUGUGCUUGCUUGUGUUUAUCAAUGUGCGCGUGCGUGCUUUUGUGUCUGCGCUUUGAGAGUGCGUAUAUUUGUGUGCGUGCGUAUGUAUUGCAUAAGGCCGGUAGAGUUUUACUCGCAAUAAAACUCUUCCAAUUUGGUGCAGCGAGUGUUGCCGCCUGAAAGCCGAGUUUGGUUUCAAGCCAACCUGGACAACUGCUGUAUGAGGCGCUGUUUCUCAGGAGGAUCAGUGGGAAGGCGUCAGGUCAUGCAGAUGAUAGCAUCAAUUUCACAAUGCCCAGCCUUGGUGCCCUCCAUCAAGAGCAAGCCACUUGCGUUCGCCUUCAGGCAGAUGGUUGAUGUCUUCUAGGAAGCAGUUGGGAAGACUACAUUGAUGCAAGAUUCCAGCAAUGCCAUGCGCUGCAUUUAUUGGUCAAGGUGCUCAGAGAAUGGAGUCCCUGCACCUCGUGGUGAAACG
rnacentral:lncRNA from 1 species